AACCUGAUCAUAAGCAGGGGACUUGACACUGUUGCCAAAUUGCAUUGGCUAUUGCCAACUGCAUAAUUUCUGCAGUGUCUUUAUGAAUACCUUAGCUUCUUCAAUAUAUUGGUCCCUGCUUCCCUACCAUGUAGAAAUUCAUGAUAUAUUUCCCCAUUUGUUUUUCAGUGUGUCAAACUUGAUCGGCUUGCACAUUAUCUAGAUUCUGAUAUUGCUUCACCCUCCAUGGCAUGUUAACAAGCAAUGCGAGGAUUUGCUUCCAUCAGAGUUUGUUCAGAAACUGGUGGAAGAAUCACACUGAACUGUUUGGAGAUUUAAAUCUUCCCAGAACUUCUUGGUAAUACUGAGCAGUAAAUGUCGACUAAGCUGCAUAGGAAAGGGCCAAAGCCAACGUGGAUUCAGCUCUGGAUAGAGUACGUGUGGGUGAAGUCUCUCCUCCUUUUGUUAGAUUGAAACCUGCUAUUUUUUUUUAUUGAUAGGAAUUCUUUGCCAAUGAUUUAUAAUCAGUUCAUGGAGAAUGAUAAUACAUUGGUUAAAUGGAAAAUGAUGAUACAUUGAUUAAAGUUGAGUUAUUAGCUGUAUUGGGAGUAUGUCUCCUCCUUCAUUGUGGACACUUUUUGUAGUUAUUAACUUUGAAAUCUGGCCAAGUUACCAGUUUUUUUAA